rnacentral:ribozyme from 13 species
UUUUUUUUUUUUUUUUUUUUUUUUUUUUUUUUUUUUUUUUUUUUAAAAAUAAUAAUAAUUUAUGUAUUACACAGAUGUGAGAAAGGGCCAGUGGGACUCAAGAGAGCAUCGACAUGGCAAUCAUUUAAUGUCGGCUUUAUUCUCUAUUAU